rnacentral:tRNA from 1 species
CUCAGCUUGGUAGAGCACUUGGUUUGGGACCAAGGGGUCGCAGGUUCGAAUCCUGUCUUCCCGAUA